rnacentral:rRNA from 1 species
GUGCCAGCCGCCGCGGUAAGACAGAGGGUGCAAACGUUGUUCGGAAUUACUGGGCGUAAAGCGCGUGUAGGCGGCCCGGAAAGUCGGAUGUGAAAGCCCUGGGCUUAACCUAGGAAGUGCAUUCGAAACUGCUGGGCUUGAGUUCUGGAGAGGAAGGCGGAAUUCUCGGUGUAGAGGUGAAAUUCGUAGAUAUCGAGAGGAACACCGGUGGCGAAGGCGGCCUUCUGGACAGUGACUGACGCUGAGACGCGAAAGCGUGGGGAGCAAACAGGAUUAGAAACCCCCGUAGUCC